UGAGUAACCUGCCCUUAACUCUGGGAUAAGCCUGGGAAACUGGGUCUAAUACCGGAUAUGACUCCUCAUCGCAUGGUGGGGGGGUGGAAAGCUUUUUUGUGGUUUUGGAUGGACUCGCGGCCUAUCAGCUUGUUGGUGAGGUAACGGCCCACCAAGGCGACGACGGGUAGCCGGCCUGAGAGGGCGACCGGCCACACUGGGACUGAGACACGGCCCAGACUCCUACGGGAGGCAG
rnacentral:rRNA from 1 species